AUGUUCUUGGAUUCUUCUUAUUCCAAUUUGAAUGACAAGCUUAUGGUGAAUCACUUCAUCGACCACAACACCUGGAAUCUCUCUUCUUGCUCGGUCCCAGAUUCCAUAAAGGUACUUUUCCUUGUAAGAGACCUUCUUGAGGAAAUGAAGCCAAAAGAGCAAGAAGUCGAGAUUUUUACUGAAAAAUACACACAUGGCGUUCAACAUGGCGUCUACCAAGGGAGGAGCCAUGAUGUGUAA